rnacentral:rRNA from 1 species
AGUGAACGCUGGCGGUAGGCCUAACACAUGCAAGUCGAACGGCAGCACAGGAGAGCUUGCUCUCUGGGUGGCGAGUGGCGGACGGGUGAGGAAUACAUCGGAAUCUACCUUUUCGUGGGGGAUAACGUAGGGAAACUUACGCUAAUACCGCAUACGACCUACGGGUGAAAGUGGGGGACCGCAAGGCCUCACGCGAUUAGAUGAGCCGAUGUCCGAUUAGCUAGUUGGCGGGGUAAUGGCCCACCAAGGCGACGAUCGGUAGCUGGUCUGAGAGGAUGAUCAGCCACACUGGAACUGAGACACGGUCCAGACUCCUACGGGAGGCAGCAGUGGGGAAUAUUGGACAAUGGGCGCAAGCCUGAUCCAGCCAUACCGCGUGGGUGAAGAAGGCCUUCGGGUUGUAAAGCCCUUUUGUUGGGAAAGAAAUCCUGUCGAUUAAUACUCGGUGGGGAUGACGGUACCCAAAGAAUAAGCACCGGCUAACUUCGUGCCAGCAGCCGCGGUAAAAC